ACAAAUAAUAUAUAUAACUGUUCCUGAUACCUUUCUUACGUGUAAUUAAUACACUUUUGUUGAAUAUUUACUUAAAAGAAAUUAUUUAGUGUCUUCGGAAAAAGUCCGUUAGCAUCUCAACCGUUUUCAGAAGCGUUUGGCUACUAACUCUGUAUUUUGAGCUCUUGUUUAAUGAAAGUUUGGGCUUUUAAUCGCAUCUUUAUGUGUAGAUGAGAUGUUAUAAUAGCUUUGUAAAGGUUUUGCUGGCAAAUUGUUAAUGGAUGAUAGUAAACUAAUUUAUUUAAUGUUAAAGUUGCUGUACCGUUAAUCGGUGACGUCACUUACAUGGAGCGCGAAAAUUAACUGAAACUAUUUCAAACACGUUUUGAUCUCUAAUGGUAAACAAAUAUGGAUAAAAAAUGUUCUGCAAUUUCAGGGGCGACAGAAAACCCCCUCUACAACAAAGGGGAAGCUGACAGAGGAGGAAAAACAGUUAAGAAGUCUUUGACAUCCAAACAUCCUUCCAUGCUGAUGGCCUCCUGCACCCCAGCAGACCUGAGCGACCUCCUGUCAAAGGCUAUGAACCAGAUGACUAUAUUACGUUUGCUAGUGAGACAGACGCCAUACUGUUCCACUCAAAGAUGCUGACUGUGGUUCAGGGGGUCGACAACUUUAAGCAUAUGAGAUGUAAUCUCAUGAGAUGGUGUUGAGAUUCUUCAGGACAAGGCCUUGAUGCCAUUCACACUCAGUACAUGAAGAUGGUGAGUUUCACAAUAGCUGCACAGCCACAAAUCAAAAGACUGACACAACAGGCUUUCAUCCUUUAUAUACUUAUAUGUAGGGAGGGUACCAAAACCUGUUAUUAAAUGGGCAUUUAGGAAAUUUCUGUCAUUAAUUAUUCACUCUCAUGUUGUUCCAAACUCGUAAAACCUUCGUUCAUCUUCGGAACACAAAUGAAGAUAUUUUUGAUGAAAUCUGAGCGCUUUUUAACCCUCCAUAGACUGCAACGUUAUUAUCUUUUUAUGGCCCAGAAAGGUAGUAAAGACUUCGUUAAAAUAGUCUAUGUGACUACAGGGGUUCAACCUUAAUGUUAUGAAGCGAUGAGAAUACUUUUUGUGUGCGGAGAAAAAAAAACGGCUUUAUUCAACAAUUUCUUUUCUACUGUCGGUCUCUGACACUGUUAACGUAGUAAACACAGUGCAGCACUUCCAGGUUCUACGUCAGAAGGCCAGCUCAUUAUUGGCCGGCUUCUGCGUCAGCUUCACGUGAAUGCGUUGUGGUGCUCACAUGAACAGCAUCAGAGAGUGACACGGAGAGAGGAAAUUGUUUAAGAAAGUUGUUAUUUUUGUUUUUUGCACACAAAAAGUAUUCUGGUCGCUUUAUAACAUUAAGGUUGAACCACUGUAGUCACAUGGGCUAUUUUAACAUGUCUAAUGUCUUUACUAUCUUUCUGGGCCUGCAAAAGUUGCAAUUACGUUGCAGUCGGGGGUCAGAAAGCUCUCGGAUUUCAUCAAAAAUAUCUUCAUUUGUGUUCUGAAGAUGAACUUAUUAUAUGAACUUACUUAAUGUCUUAUGGGUUUGGAAUGAAAUGAGGGUGAGUAAUUAAUGACAGAAAUUUCAUUUUUGGGUGCACUAACCCUUUAAGAGUCAUAUAAUAUGUUGUUUAUUUAGAUAAAAAGAACAUCAGAAUGGUUUGACCUGUAAUGUCUGUAUAUAGUGAUGCAGUUAGACAGACUAGGUUAUUUAUAUGUACAAAUCAUACAAAUGCCCCAUUCUGAAACAUACAUUUACAUUAUAAAGAAAUUAAAGAUCCACCUUUGUUUGUUGAAAGACUUUCUAGUGUAUUUCACUUAUAGCCAAUACGAUUUCCUGUAGCAGCUAUGGGAGUGACGGUAAAGUUGACAUCAAUCUCUCUCUAUUUUUUCAUCUUUUUGAAAGUUGUGAAAACACUGUUUAGUUUUUCUUUUGCUAUUUGAGAAAAUUGGAACACAAAAAAUAUAUUUAAUUUAUUCCCUCAUUCACCGCCACUUUUACCCAACUAUAACGACUUCCGCUUCUGAGAAACCUGGAAAUAUGAAAAGGUCUAUAGUAAAAAUUAAAUUCCUGAUUUUAAGGAUUUUUCAGUGAACCAUUUCUUUCCUUUUUGUAGAUUCACCAAAUCUGUCUGAUUACUGGCAAUUUGCAGUAAAGAGAGUGGACAAGUGAAGAGAGUGGAGGGGACGGCAUCAGAAAGGACCUUGAGCUACGACUGUCUUGGAUCACCCAAACCACAACUACACUAUGUGUCCAAGCACUGAACAAGGCUUUUCCUGCAUAGUGAAUUACUAGGUGGCUGCCUCUGUCAAAUUUGAUGCUGUCUCCAGCUAUUAACAAAACUCAGGCAGGCAGUCACAUGCUCCGAUACCCCUUUUCCACCAACACGGUUCUGUUGCAGGCUCCUGCCUGUGUCCAUUCCAAACUGUUCCAUGCACCUCCACUGCACAAAAAGCAGUUCCAGGUCAGAAAUAUCGGUACCCUCCCUCUUCGACAUCCUUCGCCAGUCAUCACAUUCACAACCACCACAGUCAACACAAGUCAAGGUCCCUGGUCCACAGCAUCAACCAUCUUUGUAGGAAGAUGAAUACUGCAUUUCUUGAUUUAUCUUUAAAAUUUACAGUUUUCUUAUGGAGUGCAAUCCAUCUCUAGACGGACUGAGGUCUAUCUGUCUUACAAAAUACUGUCAGACACUGCAUAUGAUGUUCUCAAAAUAAAAAAAUAAAUAAUAAUUAAAAUACUUAAGAAUU